CGGGUCCCUCUGAAUCCCUGUCGGUGCCCAUCCAUUCCUACCGUUCUUCUACAUCCGCUAGCACCGCCUGUCCAGAGUCGCCGCGUUGUCCAACCAAGCCAGAGCCCAUAAUGACUUGUGGCUGUGCAGGUAAGCCUUGGGUCUUGAAAAUAUCCGUCCGUCUCUUUAAGCCUGGGUGAAGCUUUCCGCAGGAUGUCAUGGCCUCUCCAGCAUCCCGGGUCAUCCACUGGGUUCUCCAGGGAGCCGAUCAACCGUCCUUCACCCAGAGUUGCAUUGCGUCCGAGGUCUUGAAAAUCUUGUCUUAACCGGUCUUUGAUUAUUAAUUCAACCUCGCAUCACUCGUGUUAUGCACUCAA
rnacentral:lncRNA from 1 species